AGUGAACGCUGGCGGUAGGCCUAACACAUGCAAGUCGAACGGCAGCACAGUAAGAGCUUGCUCUUACGGGUGGCGAGUGGCGGACGGGUGAGGAAUACAUCGGAAUCUACUUUUUCGUGGGGGAUAACGUAGGGAAACUUACGCUAAUACCGCAUACGACCUACGGGUGAAAGCAGGGGAUCUUCUGACCUUGCGCGAUUGAAUGAGCCGAUGUCGGAUUAGCUAGUUGGCGGGGUAAAGGCCCACCAAGGCGACGAUCCGUAGCUGGUCUGAGAGGAUGAUCAGCCACACUGGAACUGAGACACGGUCCAGACGCCUACGGGAGGCAGCAGUGGGGAAUAUUGGACAAAGGGCGCAAGCCUGAUCCAGCCAUACCGCGUGGGUGAAGAAGGCCUUCGGGUUGUAAAGCCCUUUUGUUGGGAAAGAAAAGCAGCAGGUUAAUACCCCGCUGUUCUGACGGUACCCAAAGAAUAAGCACCGGCUAACUUCGUG
rnacentral:rRNA from 1 species